GAUGAACGCUGGCGGCGUGCCUAAUACAUGCAAGUCGAGCGAACAGAUAAGGAGCUUGCGCCUUUGACGUUAGCGGCGGACGGGUGAGUAACACGUGUAUAACCUACCUAUAAGACUGGGAUAACUUCGGGAAACCGGAGCUAAUACCGUAUAACAUAUUGAUCCGCAUGGUUCAAUAGAGAAAGUCGGCUUUGCUGGCACUUAUAGAUGGAUCCGCGCCGUAUUAGCUAGUUGGUAAGGUAACGGCUUACCAAGGCAACGAUUCGUAGCCGACCUGAGAGGGUGGUCGGCCGCACUGGAACUUGGCCACGGUCCAGGCUCCUGCGGGAGGCAGCAGUAGGGAAUCUUCCGCAGUGGGCGAAAGCCUUACGGAGCGACGCCGCGUGAGUGAUGACGGUCUUCGGAUCGGAAAGCUCUGUUAUCAGGGAAGAACAGAUGUGUAAGUAACUGUGCACAUCUUGACGGUACCUGAUCAGAAAGCCCCGGCUAACUACGUG
rnacentral:rRNA from 1 species